rnacentral:rRNA from 1 species
CCUACGGGAGGCAGCAGUGGGGAAUAUUGGACAAUGGGCGAAAGCCUGAUCCAGCAAUGCCGCGUGAGUGAUGAAGGCCUUAGGGUUGUAAAGCUCUUUUACCCGGGAUGAUAAUGACAGUACCGGGAGAAUAAGCCCCGACUAACUCCGUGCCAGCAGCCGCGGUAAU